UUCGAUCAUGGCUCAGAUUAGACGCUGGCAGGAUGCUUUACACAUGCAAGUCGAACGGCAGCACGGACUUCGAUCUGGUGGCGAGUGGCGAACGGGUGAGUAAUGUAUCGGAACGUGCCUAGUAGCGGGGAUAACUACGCGAAAGCGUAGCUAAUACCGCAUACGCCCUUCGGGGAAAGCGGGGGGGACCUUCGGGCCUCGCACUAAUGCGGCGGCUGAUAUCGGAUUGAUUUGGUGGGGUAACGGCUCACCAAGGCGACGAUCCGUAGCUGGUUUGAGAGGACGACCAGCCACGCUGGGACUGGAGACACGGCAGCCCGAAUACACGGAGGCAGCGGUGGGGAAUUUUUGGACAAUGGAAACCUGAUCAGCCAUCCCGCGUGUGCGAUGAGCCUUCGGGUUGUAAAGCACUUUUGGCAGGAAAGAAACGGCACGGGAUAAUACCCCGUGCAACUGACGUACCUGCAGAAUGGCACCGGCCCAACUGCAUUGCCACAGCAGCCGCGGUAGCGUAGGGUGCAAGCGUUAAUCAGAUUACUGGGCGUAAAGCGUGCGCGAGCGGUUCGGAAGAAGAUGUGAAAUCCCAGAGCUUAACUUUGGAACUGCAUUUUACAACUACCAAGAGCUAGAAGGUGUGUCAGGGAGGGUAAGAUUCCGCGUGUAGCAGUGAAAUGCGUAGAUAUGCGGAGGAACACCGAUGGCGAAGGCGGCAUCCUGGGAUAACACUGACGCUCAUGCACAGCAGCGUGGGGAGCAAACAGGAUUAGGCCACCCUGGUAGUCCACCCUAAACGAUGUCAACCCCUUCUUCGGGGCCUUCAGGUGUGGCGCAGCUAACGCUGAAGUUGACCGCCUGGGAAGUACGGUCGCAAGAUUAAAAACAGAAUUUGGCAGGGGACCCGCACAAGCGGUGGAUGAUGUGGAUUCGAUGCAACGCGAAAACCUUACCUGCGCCGGUAUGUCUGGAAUCCCGAAGAGACCAUUUGGGAGUGCUCGCAAAGAACCGGAACACAGGUGCUGCAUGGCUGUCGUCAGCUCGUGUCACGUGAGAUGUUAGGUUAAGUCCGCAACGAGCGCAACCCUUGUCAUUAGUUGCUACGAAGGGCACUCUAAUGAGACUGCCGGUGAUAAACCGGAGGAAGGUGAGGAUGACGUCAAGUCCUCGCGGCCCUUAUGGUGGAGCUACGUCUUUGUCGGUCCGCUGCCGGGACAGGGUCGCCAACCCGCAGUUGUUAGAAACCCGAUCGUAGUCCGGAUCUGCGUCUGCAACUCGACUGCGUGAAGUCGGGAAUCUGUUAAUAAUCGCGGAUCAGCAUGUCGCGGUGAAUACGUUCAGGUCUUGUACACACCGCCCGUCUGUGGUGGGUUUACCAAGUAGUUAGCCUAACCGUAAGGAGGGCGAUUACCACAGUAGGAUUCAUGUGAAGCUGGGGUGAAGUCGUAACAAGGUAGCUCUGUUACUACCUGAUGCUCUGAC
rnacentral:rRNA from 1 species